CCCCCCCCCCCCCCCCCCCCCCCCCCCCCCCCCCCCCCCCCCCCCCCCCCCCCCCCCCCCCCCCCCCCCCCCAAAAGGGGAUCCAAGAGAUCUCUGGGAUUUGGAAAUUCCAAAGGUGAUCCAAGAGAUCUCUGGGAUUUCGGAAUUCCAAAGGGGAUCCAAGAGAUCUCUGGGAUUUGGGAAUUCCAAAGGUGAUCCAAGAGAUCUCUGGGAUUCUGGAAAUCCUAAUAAAGAUUCAGGGGCCUCAGGGGUUCCAGAAUUCCAAAAGUCUGAAGGAUAUGGGGAUUCCAAAGGGAAUCCAAGAGAUCUCAGGGAUUUGGGAAUUACAAAAGGGAUUCAAGGGCCUCAGGGAUUCCAGAAAUCCAAAAGCUCUCAGGAAUUCGGGAAUUCCAAAGGGAAUCCAACAGCCUCAAGGAUUUGGGAAUCCCAAAGAUCUCAGGAAUUUGGGAACCCUAAAAUGAAUCCAACAGAUCUCAGGGAUUCCAAAAUCCCAAAGAGGAUCCAAAAGACCCCAGAGAAUCCCAAAUCACAAAGGGGAUCCAGCAGCAGGAAUAAACCCAAGAUUUGUUCCCAAAUUCCCCCUUCCUCCACCAUUCCCAAACAUUUCCCUUCCAGGGCAGAAUUCCACAAUUCCUAAAUGGGAAUUUUCCAUUUCACUGAGAUUUUUUUUCCCCCGUUUUUCCCAUUUUUUUUGUGUGGUUGUUUUGGGUUUUUUUCUUUUUCCUGGAAAAAGGAGACCAGGAAGAGGUUUGGAAUAUUUGUGUUGAAGAGUUGGAACAACUUUGAACCUGAACCAUCCCAAUCCCAAAAAAAAACCCCCCAGGGGAAGAUGGAAUUUUCUGAAGGAAAAACCAUUCUGGCAUUCCAACAUGGAAUUUUUCCCAGAUCGAUCCCAAAUUUGGCAGAAAUGGAAUAAAAACAAAAUCCUUCAAAUUCCCGACAACAAUCCAAGGAAAAAAUGGGAAAAACCACAUCAGAACCAGGCUGGAUCCCAGGUGGGAAUUUGGAUUUUUCCAGCCUCAUUUCUUGCUGGAUUCUGAAUUUCAGCCCCAUUCCAUAAAAUCUUUUGGAUUUUCAUCCUCAUUCCAUAAAUAUUUUGGAUUUUCAGCCUCAUUCUAGGUGGGAAUUCUGAGUUUCAGCCUCAUUCCACAAAAUAUUUCGGGUUUUUCCAGCCUCAUUCCAGGUUGGAUUUUGGGUUUUCCAGCCUCAUACCACGCUGGAUUUUCUCUCCCCUUCCGAACAAAUCUCUCCCAAAUCAUUUUUUUGGGGAUUUAUCCUGAAGAUCGGAACCCCCCCCCCCCCCCCCCCCCCCCCCCCCCCCCCAAAAAAAAAAAAAAUCAGGAUGGAACAUUUGGAAGCGUGGACACAGAGACUUGUUUGGAUUUUUAAUUCCAAAUCCUUCAAUUCCAACAUUCCCGAUUAUUUUAAGGAUCCAGAGUUGGCUGAAAUUCCAAUUGCCACGGGAAUUCUGCUGGGAUCCAAAAAGUUUUGAUGUUGUUUUUAUCCCAUUGAAUCCUUUCGCUCCCAUUUCAUUCCCUGUUUUUUUUUUUUUUUUUCAGGAAUCAUCCAAACACCAGGAAUAAACCAACCCUUAAAAUAAAAUUUCAGAUUUUAAUUGGAGGAAUUUUGUUGGGAUUUUUUUAGAUCCCCCCCCCCCCCCCCCCCCCCCCCCCCCCCCCCCCCCCCCCCCCCCCCCCCCCCCCCCCCCCCCCCCCCCCCCCCCCCCCCCCCCCCCCCCCCCCCCCCCCCCCCCCCCCCCCCCCCCCCCC
ensembl:lncRNA